CUCACGGAUUUUGAGUGCUUGCCCAUUUUCAUCACAAGAUUACAAAGUCAAUUAAGGAGAUUUGAGAUUUGAAGACGACAAAUAAAGGAAUAAAUAUUAACAGGAUAUUGCCCAAACACGUUAGAAGAAAGGUAACAUUCUGAAAGCCUGUGAAAAAGGCAUGAAUAUUAACAGCCUUUGUGUUUCAAUCUACUGAAACCUAAUAGCUCUGUCAUCCACUCUGGACAACUUUAAUUUUCUUGUUCAGAGAUUUGAAGGUAUACCAUCUGGGUAUAGCCAUUAAAUACAGAUGUCUCUAGUCUACCUAGACCAAGCCGCUGAAACAGGCCAUAGCGACCAUCUUCCACAAUAGGUGAGGUAGUUCGAGCAGGAUCAUACCGUGUUUGAUGAGUGAGGGAAGGACCAGCUACCGGAGGAAGCUCCCAAUAAACAUCCAGGAUUGAUUCAAUAAACCGGCUGUUCUGAAAAUGUUCCUCAUAGGAAAUUGGCUUAUUACUGUGAUUAAAGUUAUCCCGCAUAAAGCCUCUAACACCCCACCAAGCUUCAUUUGGGCCACAUAGUUCAUCUAUAUCAACUGCCUUCUCCCAGAAUUUCUUCCUUUUUGAUCUAAUCCUGGUUUCGUCACUAUCCCUAAAGCAGCUAUGACCGCCUCCUCUUAUAUAGAACUGAUCACAUAUCUGCCUUAAGGAAUAAUGAUCUCCAGUUCCAGUAUCAUAGUUGUCCUCAAAAACAAGAUGUUGAAAGCCAGCAUUCAAUGCUUGCUUUACUCUUUUUAAUUCAUUCUGAUGGUCGUCAAAGAAGAUAAGAACUCGACUGAGAUCAAUAAUCCCAUGUUUCUUCAUCACAUUCUUCCAUUCAACACUUCCAAAAUCCACAAAAUCUUUUCCAGCAAAGUAGGUGCAGUUUCCAUCAACAUAAGCAGGCCCCUUUUUUAGGUAUUUCUCUGGAUGUCUGGGUGACAGUGAAAUAAUUGGUGUGUCUGGCAUUGCUUGUCGCAGAACCCAAGUGGAAUGCCCCUUGAAAGCACCACUCUCAAUCAUCAGAUCUGGCUUCAGCCACCUUGCAAUAAACCAAAGCCCAAAGCUGUGGUCAAAACCCAUUCCAUACAUGUUGUUUUUUAUUGGCCUAGUUUCGUAUAUUGGUACAAACUCUUCCAAGCCCUUGAUUAAAUCCUUGGAUGUCCACUCCACCGUUUUUCCAUGUUUCGAUCUGCACCAAGGAACACCAAGGGCUCCAAAGUCCGACUCGAGACCAUCAAGCCCGAAAAAUCCGACCCGUGUCUUAGGAUCGAAAGGAGAAACGCAGACGAAAUCCCGCGAAUGAUAAAGCAGCGACGCAAUAUAAACGAAUACAAAGAGGAGGCAGAGGAUGAGACACGGGGUAGGACAAGGGCAGAAGUGGGACAAGCGGGACAUGUAAUUAGCAGCCAAUAAAGAGAGGCUCUGUUUCUUGGUCUUGGACUCGUCGCCCAAUAUAGUCGAAGUGUCGGAAUCGGAAACGGCGUCGUCGGGGUGGGGAGAAACCCGACGGGAGGAGAGGACUCGCUCCAGCAUCUUAGCGGAGGAAGUGGUGGUCUUGGGACUGUGGGGUUGCUUCAGAGCGUGCAUAGUGAAUAUUUUCUGUUGUCAAAGUUUUAACCUUUUCCUUCAAGUUUCAGUCUUUGAGACAACCAUAUCAUGCUCAGGAGACCGGCGAUCAAGUCUUGAGCUUUCUACUUUAUUUUAUUUUGUAUUUUCUC
rnacentral:misc_RNA from 1 species